rnacentral:tRNA from 1 species
UACAAAGUAGUGUCUCAUGCACGUAGGCCUUUGAUCCCUAAAGUAAAGGUUAAACCCCUUUCUUUGUAA